rnacentral:rRNA from 1 species
GCGGCGACGCUACUACAUGCAAGUCGAACGGGGUAUCGGAGCUUGCUCUGAUACUUAGUGGCGGACGGGUGAGUAACACGUGAGCAACUACCUUUGAGAGCGGGAUAGCUUACUGGAAACGGAUGGUAAUACCGCAUGACAUUGCGAAGCCGCAUGGCUUUGCAAUCAAAUGAAUUUCGCUCAGAGAUGGGCUCGCGCCUGAUUAGCUAGAUGGUGAGGUAACGGCUCACCAUGGCGACGAUCAGUAGCCGGACUGAGAGGUUGAACGGCCACAUUGGGACUGAGACACGGCCCAGACUCCUACGGGAGGCAGCAGUGGGGAAUAUUGCACAAUGGGCGAAAGCCUGAAUGCAGCGAUGCCGCGUGGAGGAAGAAGGUUUUCGGAUUGUAAACUCCUUUUUUCAGGGACGAUAAUGACGGUACCUGAAGAAGAAGCUCCGGCUAACUACGUGCCAGCAGCGGC